UUCUAUUUGUUAUAUGCAAAAGGGAAAAUAUAUUGCUAGACUUAUGAAGUUUAUUUAUAUUAUGAUCUACUUUCUUUUCUUAUUUCUUGUUGCAACAAACAGUAAACGUAAGCCAUUUUUCAUUCUUCUAAAAUGUUCUUAUUUACUUCUAACAUAUAUCCCCUUUAAUUAAUAAUAACAUUCUUGUGUUAUAUAUAAUUUUCAUUACAGUUGACUGUCGUAAUGACCUUGACUGUAAAGAUAUUAAGUGUAAGCCUGGUUGGGUUGCACAAUGUAGUGUUACUAAUCGAUGUAGAUGUGUCCCUUCAUCUAAACCUGGAUCUGGACAUCCUUGGAGAACAAGACCCAAGAAAGUGCGCAAAUUUUUUAUGAGAGUGGAAGACCAUGUAGAUAAUAUUAAAAUUGCAACAUGAAAUAAAUAAUAAAUAAUAUUAUUUAUAUUGUCUUUGACUCUCUUAAUUUCUCCGAUUCUAUAUAUGAUUGUA
rnacentral:lncRNA from 1 species